GAGUUCUUUCUAGGCCUCCCAGUGAUAGAUGAGGCCACGGCAUUGUGAAAACUGUCCACUCUAAAGGGUAGGGUUGAGGUGUGAGGUAGACAACUUGUAAGGUGAUUUCCAAGAUCUCUGCCUCCUGGUAUUCACAUCCUUGUGUGAGCACCUCUCUUGAACGUGGGCUGGACCUAGUGACCCACUUCUAGUUAACAGGAUAUGUGAAAAGGGAAGGGAUAUCAUUUCUGAGAUUAGUUUAUAAAAGAUAUGACUUCUGUCCUGAGUGCAACCUGUCUCCUGUUGUUUCCUUGCUUGCUUACAAGGAUGAAUCCUCCUGUCCUGUUGGGACCUGCCCUAUGGAGAGGGCCAUAGGACAAGCAAAUGGGGAUGAUUCCCAGCUGGUGAAGAACUGAGACCUUUAGUCCAGCAGUCCUUGUGGAGCUGAUUCCUGCCAGCAACCACGUGAGUGUGCUCAGAAGCAGAUUCUGUUCCCAGUUAAGCCUUAGAUGCCUGCAGCCCUUGAUAACACCUUGGCUACCUUCUGCGGGAGACCCUGAAACAGAAGACUCAGUUAAGCUGUGCCCAAAUAUUCCUGACCUAUGAAGCUGUGGGGCAAUACAUACUAGUUGCUUUCAUUCAGCCACUAUGCUUAGGGAGAAUUUAUGUGGCAACAAAUGACAUGAGGUAUGUGUGGAAACAGAAACAAUCCUUUUGUGUUGCUGUGGAGGUACAAGGUACCUGCUGUAGAGGCAGUCAGGAUACAGCGUGGCUCUGAGACCUUCUUUCCUGGCAAACAGCUGGUGGAAGUCGAGAAAAGGGAUCUCGCUGGGGUGGAUGUUCCUGCGGCCUGGACAUCAAGAUCUGUCAUGUAACAUAAAUCAGAGAAGAUCAAUGCUGCAGUUGUAGGGAGCUUUGCAGCACCAUUUCCACCAUGAUGGACCUCAAACUUCUCUUCUAUGGGAUACAUGGUUAGAAAACCACAGCUAUGGAGGAGGAAGAGGGCAAUAGAACCGUUUCUUGGAAGUGAUGCCUCUCAAAGCCUAAUUCUCUCAAGUCAAGCUAAGUCCCCAUUCCUUCUGGUUUGUCUCCACCUUUCUCCUCUGCAGAGCAGGCUGCACAGGCAUGGUCCCCCCCACAUGCAGACAUACCUCAUUCCUCAGGUCUGCCCUGUUACCAGUUUUGUCGUGCAUCUCGUGCUAAACUUACUUCUCAAAUGGAAAGCUGCCUCAAGGGCAGGGUGGCACGGUGGAGAGGGCAGGGGCUCUGCAUCUGACCUGUCUGACAUCUGAUCUUGGCCCUACUGGUUACUUGCUGGGCAGUCUUGGCGAAUUUGUUUAAUCUUUUUGAACUCUGGACUCAUCAGCAAGAAAAAGGGAAUGAUAAUAUGUACUUUACAGGGCGGUUCUGAAAAUUAAGCCAGACAAAGUGCUUGGGACGAGAGCCUGGGACGUUCUGACAGCAGUGUGGUUGUGGCUCGUGUCUGUGUUAUUUUUCUGAUUGUCUCCAUGCAGGGUCACAGUAGGAUUCACAUGGGGUCACUUAGGCUCUGCCCUGGCCGGCAAACACUGCACUCAUAGGUCCCCUCCUCAGAGCUCUCCAGCCCCAGGACAGAUUGGGGGUGAUAUCAGGCAGGAGGACUGUGCUGGGAUGUGACCCACUGGGAGGCCUCCAUGUGGGACAGAGCCAGAGGCAGCACCUGGGCCGUGACACCAGUGCCUGGGGACGUGGUUUGCCUGGGAGCCAGGUGGAGCUGAUCCUCCUUCUGGUGGGUGCUCUGUGCCUGAGGCAUAGCUGGGCUGCAGGGGGUGGAGGACUCCUCAUUCUGUCACUGCCACUCACAGGGCCUGGAGAGCUGUGUCUGUUUCUGGAACCUCUGAAUCACAGCCUCCUUGGGUUCUUCUGAAGGCACAUUGCACCUUCUAGAAGGGUAUGACUCAGAAGGAAAGAGAGAAAAACCUCUACUGGCAAGAGGAAAUGGCUGCAGUGUUUACUUUAUCUGAAAAUGGCACACGCUUUUAUUAAGACAUAAAUGCCAGUGAUGGAUUCUGCUCUUGGCGUGUGGCUGUGCUCCCCAGCCCUGAGGUGAGAUGGUCAGGAGAUGUGAGACCCUACAGAGAAAAUAUUUACCAUGCUGAGCUGUCAUGAGACAGAGUAAGUGGGCAGAGGGCAGCUGGUUCCUUUGACCACCUCAUUCUAGGGAAAAUAAACAGGGACCCUGGAGCAGUCACUAACAGAGGGGAGCAAGUAUCCUCUCUCUGCAGUAGAAUCUCUGAAAAUUCGGAUAACGUUAAUUGUGCCACUGUGGUGGCAGUGCAAGAAAUUCCUGUUCAUCCCGCUGCAAUGAUGAUUAAGGUAACAAACACCCAGUCGGGAAGUCAGGCUCCGGCCCUGGAGAAUAGUUGAGGAUCGCCUGUAGCAUAUUGUUCCACUCUGCUGGCAUCCUAACUAGACAGCUUUAGUUUUAGCAUAAAAUCCAUAUUCCAGACCUUUAUGGAGCAGAGAGGCAAACUCCAAUGCUGCCGUUGCAAGCAUCAAACAGCAUUAGAAUGAAUUAAGGAGAUUUAAGACUCUCGAUGCUGUCGGGGCUCUUCUCCAUCCCCUCUGUUUUCUCCAAGGAGCUGUUUUAAAGGCGUGGGGGGCAAAUUGGAAGAAGGGAGUGGGAAAAACGCAAACCAAUCACGCUAACCUCGCUCCGGAAUCGAAGUCUGACUCUGUACCACGCAUGGAUUUAAUUGGGAGAGAGGUCUUUUAGAGACACUCUGGGUGGGUGCAUAGAUCAGUCUGGAGUUUCACAGUACGGCUUCUUCCAAGGUCAGAGCAUGUGUCCAGGGUCUUCCCCGCUUCCUGGUGGACGGGAAGGCGUCUUCGGUCCGGUGGUUGACAAAAAAUCCAAAGAGGGCGUCAGAUGUGUGCACUCUGGUGUUUGGAAUUUAAGUAAAAUCUGUAAUUUUCCUCCUGCAUUUCCUCAGAGAAAUUAGCUAUUCUAUUCACUGCAUAAAUUUUCAGGUUUUGCUAGCACGACACUCAGGGUGUUGAAUUUUUUAUGACAAAAAUGCUGUAAUAAUUGUUGAACAGAUGUAAGUGUUGGAGACUCGGCUCUGGCAGACCUCACGAAACCUCGAUUAGCAAUUUAACCCUGUCCUCCCUCCUGUCCGCACGCCGGGGAAGAGGAGUUGCAGUUUUGAAUGGCUUCACUGGGAUAUGCACAAAGGCAGAGAAAGAGUUUUCUGGAGAGCAGGGGAAGUCCUUUAACGAGCUCUUAUGCCCAGCCAGAAAAGGAAGAACUCGGUGCAGCCUAACCCUGAAAUUACCACAUUACCAAGUUGUCUAGCUGGGUGAUUAAUAAACUAAUUGACACGGGGGACACUUGUCACUGGCGAAGCAGCUCCCUAGCCAAAGCGAGGAGCAACUACAUAGCGUCUCCCGGGGAGCUGGGAAGUGACAGUCUACACCCGCUUCCGGGCUCCCCGUGACAUAGGCCAGCCGGGCCUCCAUUUACACCUCAAAGCAAAGUCACAGAGGGAUCCGCCCCUUUCCUGGCUGCCUACACAGAAAGCAGCCAUGGGAGACUUGCCGAGGACUUUGUCCACCAAGUGAUGAAAGCAUGCAAAUGCCUCCGAAUCAAAGGCCUGAGCCACGUAUGAAGUGUGAAUCUUCACACCAUGCAAGAGAAGCCACAUGUUAUUGCUCUGGUCAACAAUCCCAGCUGACCCAACCAGAUAGUGUAUCAGGCAUAUGAGUAAAGCAUUCUUAGAUUCUUCAGUCCAGCCCUUCACCAGCAGAACACCAUUCAGCAACCCUUGUCGGCAUCAUGUGGGACAGAAGAACCACCCAGCUGAGCCUUAUCCAAAUUCCUGACCACAAAAUCAUAAGCCCUGAGAGAGCAAGACCAGCCCCUUCUUUUCUUCCACCUCCUCAUCUACUCAACAUGUAUCUUCAUUCUCAAGACGAUGAGGAUGAAGACCUUUAUGAUGCUCCACUCCCAGUUAAUAAAUAGUGAUGAAAUUGAGACCUCGCAGUUAAAUGUUUAAGUCAGGAUGAACUACUUUUCCAGGGAUGGUGAAGCCGGAGCUCUGGAUGGCACUCCUGGAUCUCCUAAAUCUUGAUUCCGUGCUCUUUUCUCCCCACUUGGCUCCACUGUUUUGGCAGAGUCCCUUAAGAUGGACCUGAUUGGAUGAUGUGGAACUAGCCAUGCAGAAAGAACAGAGGGUGGGAAAACAAAUGAGGUCAGAGAGUCCUCAUAUUAGUCGGUUCUUGCACUGCUAUAAAGAACUAUCUGAGGCUGGAUAAUUUAUGAAGAAAAGAGGUUUACUUGACUCACGGUUCCACAGGCUGUACAGGAGGCAUAGCUGGGGAGUCCUCAGGAAACUUAACAAUCAUAGCAGAAGACAAAAAAGAAGUAAGCAUGUCUUCACAUAGCCAGCAAGAGAGAGAGACAGAGACCAAAGCAGGAGGUGCUAUACACUUUAAAACAACCAGAUCUCAUGAGAACUCUUUCAGGAGAACAGCAAGGGGAAAGUUUGCCUCCAUGAUUCAAUCACCUCCCACCAGGCCUUUCCUCUAAUACUGGGAAUUACAAUUGAACAUGAGAUUUGAGUGAGGACAAAGAGCCAACCAUAUCAGUCCUCUUCAGUUGUUGGUACCUAUGUGGGGAGAAGGAGCUGUGUAGAGUGGGUGUGACUAAGUCGGUCAGAACUGGGAAGCAUGGCAGACUAGGCUGUCCUGCAACCGGAGGGUGGUUUCAGAAUCCAGAGCCUGGGAUAGCAUUCCCUGGACCCUCAGUCCAUACCUGCUAUCUACAGGCAGCUAGAGAAAACGUAAGAAUCAGCAUCGGUCACAGGUGACAUUGGGGCAGGGCACUGAGCUCCCUGCUCUCCACUGCGGCUGCAGUCUUUAAACUCCUUAUUCUAUCCAGCACAGACAGUUUGCAGACGAAGGUUUCUGCACCGGCAUCUCUGCUCAGAAGAGAUUUGCUGAUGUAACAAUUAUUUGCACUAUUUAUAUUCAAAUGUUCUUUUAAAAAAAUGCAGCCUCUAAAUUUACGGAUAGUAACUGUGUGCAAAUCAGGAAACUUAUCUCCUUUUUAUAGUCUAAAAUCAAAUUACACUUUACAUUUUUCUCACUUGCAGAAUAUUAGAUUGUGAUGCCUAAAUGACUUGUGUUUAUGAAAAAGGUGAAUUUUAAGAACAAAUUUUAAAACUGCAUAAGCAGUUUAAUGGGUGUUUUUAGAAAGUGAGAAUGAUCAGCUGGUAAGCAUUUAUUAUAUAUUAAACUGGAAGUUAUAUCGUCGCAUCCGUUAGCACUGAAUUCUGAAAAUCAUCAUGGCCCAGGUUUGUGUUUAUGAAAUGAUGGACCACAGGACUGUUAAAUAAAGUUGUAAAAAAAAAGUUGGUCGAUGUCCCUGUUUUUUCACUAGUUUUCUGACCUGUAAUCUGAGAUCUGAUUGAGUUCUCAAUAUCCUGCAAGUCACAGAUUCUAUCCCCAUUUAUGCACACGAUUGUAGUUGUCUCAUGGUUUUCAGUGUUCUUAAUGAGCUGUUAACAAGCUGUCAAUUACCUAUGCAAAUUAGGGAGGCCAACAUUGAGGGGUGGCUGUAUCUGCAGUUAAAGAGUGCUACCUUGGAAUGUUAUGAAAUCAAUCAUUCUUGCUUUAAUAGCUAUCUUUACUCAUGUGUCUCUUGUCAUGUCUGGGUCUUUUUUCAUUAUAAUACCUACCGCAUAAGAAAAGCCCUCUGGGAAUUUUGAAGGUGCUUAGAAAGGAGCUUACCCAAAUCUUUCAUAACUUUUAACUUGGCUUAAAGAUUGCCUAAAAUGCAGGCUUACUUUUUCACCUGUCUUUCCAG
rnacentral:lncRNA from 1 species